UGGAUAUCAGACCCCCCCAUUUCUUCAGCUCUGAGGUCAGUCAUGCUGCUGAGGUUUCUGAGGAGGUGCCAGCACUGAGAAAGGACAUGAGAGAGGAAGAGAAAUGUCUGGACUGUAUUUAGAAGCAAGGAGUCCCUUGGAGAAGAGCCCCUGGAUGGUCCUGCAGCAGGACAGAGCCUCAGAGGGUACCACAUUGCCUGAUCGAGAUCAUUUUCCAGAUAUAAUUUAUUUGAAUACUGCACAUGAAGAUAUUACAUCUGCACUGGAUGAGCUCUGUAUAAACACCAAAGGGGGAAAAGCAUCCCAUUGGCAAGUGAUGAAGCCCUGAAGAGCUGAGCUAAGCUAUUUUCCUGAUGAGAGCUCCAGGAGAGCUGAUGUUUUCCCCCACUGAGAUGUCCUCACCUGCUUUGUUCAAUAGCAUCCACAGAAAAUAAGAAUCAAGAGCUGCCCCACACCAACAAGGAAGAUGGGUUCCUCUACAUGUUUUCAGAAGUUUCUAAACCAAGGAAGACCAUUUCUGCUCUUCAAAGU